ensembl:lncRNA
GGUAGAGGAAACAGGAAGCUGGUCGCUUGUUAGCCUGCAGGAUAUGUUGUUGCUCUUUAAAACGUUUCUGCCUUGAAGAGUUAUUGCUUGUGAGUAUUAACCCUUUAGAACCGGUAGGAGCGGACACAAGUCUGGAGAAGUAUAAUUUGUUAAGUGGUGAGUCCAGUCAGCAUUCUAUUUAUUAUAAUUACUAAUUCUUAUGUUUUUUGUUUCAUUUUUUUAAUCCCAAUCAGUAGGGUUUCCAGUUUAGACAUACAAAUCAACAAUUCUUCCAAUUCUUUGACUGAAAUCUUUAGAGCUUCCACUUAUAGAAUAAAAUUCACUACUUCUUCCAAGAUAGUAAUAAUUAUUUCCUCUGCAUGCAGCUUAUCUUUGGAACUGGUCUCUGUCACAAGCAGAACAAUAAGGACGAACAAUGUCAGUGGAAAUACAUUUUCAAAAUGCUGACAAUGAAGCACGCAUUGGUCUGAGCCUACAAGAUGAGAAUCCUAUAGGAGAACUUUGCAGGUGUUCGUGUGGGCAAAGAAUGGAUCCAUUGACCUGUUGGAUACACUUACGUCUGCUGCUGCGAUCACUUUAUUCUCUGCAGUGGUCUUGCUCCUGUUCCACUUCAACAAAUACAUCCAAUUAAACAAAUGCACAUUAAAAGGAAGUUCAAUAAAGUUUAUUUCAC